rnacentral:tRNA from 1 species
UCCAGGGUAGCCUAGUGGACAUGGCAUCUGCCCGGUAAGCGGAACACUAUGGGUUCGAUUCCCAUUCCUGGAU